AUAUCUUGGCUAUUGUAAAUAAUGCUGCAGUAAACAUAAGGGUGCCUGGGGUCAUCUUAAAUGAACUUUAUCCAAAAGGGCUGCCCAAUAAGCAGUAGGAUCCCAUCAGAGAGUCCAUGAAGAGAUGAACUGAGAACCAAAUCACAAUGAAGUGCAGGGGAGAGGAUGCUUACCAAUGAAUGGAGAGAGAAGUAAUGAUCUGAAAACCCUGCAAAGAACUGAAACACCCUGCAACAGAAAAACACAAGAGUCAGCUUUGACACCUGUCAAACCAGAGAGCAAUGAUGGCAGCUUACAAAAGUACCAGCCUGUGCCUUCAUCUCUCCUCCAUCCGCCAUCUUGAAGCCUGGCGUGAUCAGAAACAGUUAGCAAUUACACAGAGGAAGAAAGACAAGUUUGAAAAGUAGGGGAAUAUCUGUCCAAGCCAUACUGUACCCUGCAGGCCUGCCUUCUGUUGCAUAGCUGAUUAGCCUACAGCACAUCCGAAGAGGGAGAAGCCGUCUUGCCUCUAUGACUAGACAGGCAUGAGGAUAAAAUCUCUGUGAGGAUAAUGGAACAAAGUUGUAGAAGGGGCCUAGAGUCCCUUCCUUUAGACUUCUUGUUAUGUGAGGAAAAUAAAAUGCUACUACAAGGUUAA